rnacentral:rRNA from 1 species
CAAUAGCGUAUAUUAAAGUUGUUGCGGUUAAAAAGCUCGUAGUUGGACUUCUGCAGGGGACGACCGGUCUACCCACUGGGUUAGCAUCUGGCUCGGCUUUUGCAUUUUUCAGGCACAGGCUGCUGCACUUGAUUGUGUGGUGCUUACGUCUGAACCUUUACCUUGAAUAAAACAGAGUGUUCAAAGCAGGCUUUCGCCUGAAUGUAUCAGCAUGGAAGUAAUGGUUAAUAGGAAUAGUUGGGGGCAUUCGUAUUUAACUGUCAGAGGUGAAAUUCUUGGAUUUGUUAAAGACGAACUACUGCGAAAGCAUUUGCCAAGGAUGUUUUCAUUG